UACGUAGGGGGCAAGCGUUGUCCGGAUUCAUUGGGCGUAAAGAGCGUGUAGGCGGCCAGGUAGGUCGGUUGUGAAAACUGGAGGCUCAACCUUCAGAGGUCGACCGAAACCAUCUGGCUAGAGUCCGGAAGAGGAGAGUGGAAUUCCUGGUGUAGCGGUGAAAUGCGCAGAUAUCAGGAGGAACACCAGCGGCGAAGGCGGGUCUCUGGACAGUUCCUGACGCUGAGGCACGAAGGUCAGGGGAGCAAACGGG
rnacentral:rRNA from 1 species